AAAACCCUCUUAAAAGGGAGUGAGUGUUCAUGGAAGGAAAGGACUAGUGUCAUUUCCCUUUUAGCCCAUCAUCGUCAUCGAGUGCCGUAUUGUUUUCAUGGAUCUAGAGCAAAAUCUGGAAUCACUCUCACUCCAAAACAGCGGAGAAACACUAAGUGGAAAGUUGCGGAGAUUGAAGGUUUCUUCGAAUGUGUUCUUCGUUUACCAUGACCAAGAUGGGUUCGGAAACGCCAUCGCCCGAGCUCUCAAUCCUACUCCCCAUCCUUGUAGUAAAGCCUUCGAGUUAGUCGACCUGGAAUUAGGUGAUGCAAAAUUGAAUGCCUCUAUUACUCAAUUUAUGGAUGGAGAAAAUCUAAAGGCAACAAUGGUAAUGUUGGAUCAUUUGGAGCCGCCACUACUGUCACAGGCUAUAAAUUCAGUUCUGACUAAAAUAGCAGAUGCAGAGCACAUACCAUCUACCGUACCCACUAUCAUAGCCCCUUUUCUUGUACCGGCAUCAAAGCUGAGGUUGGAAGGUAGGUUGUUUACAACAAAUAGCGGCAAGCUUCCUCUCUAUAGUAUCCAAGUAGGCCCCGAGACUGAUGUAAGUCGAGCCAUUGCUGCCAAAACCCAGAAGCCACCUCCAUCUUUGCAAAUUCAUUACGAGCCUUUAGCCUGCUUUCUUCACCUGGUCCGUGCUGCAAACUUGCCAACUUCUAUUAUAGUCGGGCAAAGAAGCCAAAGCCCAUUUAAUCAAGCUUUAAGUGAGGACCUGCAGACCCUGUAUGAGAUAGGACAGCUUGCGGCAAGCACGACUGGGACAUACUUCCAGAGAGAGCAAACUAGCACAAAUUGGAUUCCAACAGCAAAGCCAGCAAGUGGUGGUGGUGUUGGAGAGCCAUGGCUUGCAUUCUAUGGUUAAAUGUUUAGGUUUAACAUGCCAAUGGGUGCAUACUGUAGUGAAAACUGGGGCCCAUGCUGUUGGAUUUUGUGGGAUAUAAUACGAAUUGCAGUCAGCUGUGGCUUAAAAUUGAUGAAUGGUGAUCUUAUAUGUUCUAUAGUUGUGGGAUAUAAGGAAGAACUGAAAGGCAUAACUUGUCUCUUUCUUCAUCAGUUGGGAAGUUGAUUUGCAGAGCAGGAAUGAUCAUCAGAACAUUGUUAGGUUCCCCAUUUUAUUUUAUUUUAUUUUAUUGUAUUUUUUCUUUGAUAAAGGUUUGUUAUAUCAGUAUUUAUUGAGUUGUGUGUAAAUUGUGGUACAAAGUGAGGACUUGGAGUAACGUGUAUGUGUAAAUGGUAGAUUAGAUUUCUUCUCAAAUUUGUACAACACUUCUUUAGGUUUGUGGUUGUUUAAAAGUGAAAUAUUACACUCUUUAUAUACUUAAAA